GAUGAACGCUGGCGGCGUGCCUAAUACAUGCAAGUCGAGCGAACGGACGAGAAGCUUGCUUCUCUGAUGUUAGCGGCGGACGGGUGAGUAACACGUGGAUAACCUACCUAUAAGACUGGGAUAACUUCGGGAAACCGGAGCUAAUACCGGAUAAUAUUUUGAACCGCAUGGUUCAAAAGUGAAAGACGGUCUUGCUGUCACUUAUAGAUGGAUCCGCGCUGCAUUAGCUAGUUGGUAAGGUAACGGCUUACCAAGGCAACGAUGCAUAGCCGACCUGAGAGGGUGAUCGGCCACACUGGAACUGAGACACGGUCCAGACUCCUACGGGAGGCAGCAGUAGGGAAUCUUCCGCAAUGGGCGAAAGCCUGACGGAGCAACGCCGCGUGAGUGAUGAAGGUCUUCGGAUCGUAAAACUCUGUUAUUAGGGAAGAACAUAUGUGUAAGUAACUGUGCACAUCUUGACGGUACCCAAUCAGAAAGCCACGGCUAACUACGUGCCAGCAGCCGCGGUAAUACGUAGGUGGCAAGCGUUAUCCGGAAUUAUUGGGCGUAAAGCGCGCGUAGGCGGUUUUUUAAGUCUGAUGUGAAAGCCCACGGCUCAACCGUGGAGGGUCAUUGGAAACUGGAAAACUUGAGUGCAGAAGAGGAAAGUGGAAUUCCAUGUGUAGCGGUGAAAUGCGCAGAGAUAUGGAGGAACACCAGUGGCGAAGGCGACUUUCUGGUCUGUAACUGACGCUGAUGUGCGAAAGCGUGGGGAUCAAACAGG
rnacentral:rRNA from 1 species